CCUCACAGAGCAGGAGCUGCUUAAACUCUGCAAAGCGCCUGGGACUCUGAAGGGAUCGGUCCAUUCCGGGCACUUCUAUUAUUUCCGUGUAAUCAAGCUGUGCAGCAACUUGCAGGACAGAGACCCCGCUUCAUACGGAUUCCUAGGGAGGGAGAUGAGCCUGCAGACACAGACAGCUGAACACAGUCAAACGCUACAGAUUCCUUUGUCCCAUCUGACAACUCACUUCAACUUUAAUCCUGGGCAGGGGACUCUCGAAAACUGAAAGGAUCUCUUACCUUCUGGCCAAAUAAAAUUCACCAACACCCACACAUAUCCACACCUCAUUUGGAAGUAUAUGCAAGUGGCAAAAGACUCUACCCAAAGGUCCUAAGCAUCUCUUUUAUCACUGCUUCCUUACAAGAUCAAAACCAAGGACUCUGCAACGAAGGCUGGUGCAGACAUGGCAGCACUAAGCAGGACACAAUAAGAUGUAAAGCCACAACAACACAGAGCUGAAACCCCUGAACUUGCAACCAUUGAAAAAGCUAUAGCCAUCAGCCAGGAAGGAAAUGAGGCGAGUUACUGCCAUUCUUUAUUUGCAGAUAUUUUUAUUACCAGAUAUAUUGUGUCAUUUUAAAACUGUGACCAAGUUCUCUUUUCACAACAUAAACUUCUUUGUUUGUAACUCUUCCUAUGACUUUUAUCAGUGGAGUUUCUUGUACGAAG
rnacentral:lncRNA from 1 species